CCACAGCAGCUACUUCUUCUCCCUUCUUCCUCUUCAUUUCAUCUUCUUCAUCUCCAUUUUCUUGUUGCAAAACAAAACCAACUAGCCAACAGCCCAUCGUCUAGCAACACCCCCUGCCGUCGCCAGCCCAUGUCCAAACAGCCUCGCAUCCAGCUCGCCGAACAACAACUAGCAGCUCAACUCCUUAGAAGCAUAACUGAAAUUCCAGCAGCAAGCCUUGGGCUUGCAAGGCUGUUUUCAGCCUGGUCUGGGCCUCCUUUGGGGACGCCGUAGUCAUGGAAUCUCACCGCCGUCGCAUCACCAUCGCCGUGACCCAUUUAUUCUCUAAUCCGAUGACGGAAGAUAAGAAAUGGAUUUGGUUGAUGACAUGCGUGCAUGGUCACUAAGGGGAACCCGUCACCCAACGGGAGUUUGGGGGCAAUGCCCGAAUUUAUUGGAUGCACGAUGGGGGUCCGAAAGCCGAUCACGGUGGAGGCCAGACCGAUGCCCCUUUAUGGGAUGCUGUCUAGGCGGGAGUUCUAGACAUUACCAUGCCCAACGGGGUGAGACGAUGCCCGAUUUUAAUCAAAUGCCCGGCGAGAGUCUGGAUGAUCACCAACUGGGAGUUGGUCGUGGCCGAUGGGCCAUAAGAACUGGAACAUGCAUAGCCGCGCCUGAUUAUGGAGCAAAAUUAUGUGGCACGGUUCCUAGUUUGGAGAACCCGGAGCUAAGGCUGAAGGGUCCGGAGUGUAGGUGGCCUGGUAAUUUCCUUUUGAAGUAGAUUUAGGUGAAUAGACCUGUAAGACUGGUUUGGCAUGUGUAUAAAGUGGUUUGUGAUAAUUAGCUUGUCUUUCCACUAUCCCAGUGUUCGAUGGUUGUCAGGGUAUCUGUUUAUU